GACGAACGCUGGCGGCGUGCCUAAUACAUGCAAGUAGGACGCAGUUGCGAACGGGUGAGUAACGCGUAGGUAACUGCCUAUUAGAGGGGGAUAACUAUUGGAAACGAUAGCUAAUACCGCAUACUAGUAGAUGGACCUGCGUUGUAUUUGCUAGUAGGUAGGGUAAUGGCCUCCCUAGGCAACGAUACAUAGCCGACCUGGGAUGGUGAUCGGCCACACGUGGACUGAGACACGGGCCAGACUCCUACGGGAGGCAGCAGUAGGGAAACUUCGGGAAUGGGGGGAACCCUGACCGAGCAACGCGGGGUGAGUGAAGAAGGUUGUCGGAGCGGAAAGCUCUGUUGUUAAGGAAGCGGUACUUAACCAGAAAGGGACGGCUAACUACGUGCCAGCAGCCGCGGUAAUUC
rnacentral:rRNA from 1 species